AAGCGCUUAUGACCAGACUUGGACUUGGUUGAUCAUCCUGGGUUCUCCCUGGUGCACUCUUCCAGUUCAGGCCAGCAUCAGUUCAUCGCGGGGGAUAAAGGCUUCGGGAAUGUGGCUCCUCCGGGAGUGUUAUAACCCGUUGUG
rnacentral:rRNA from 1 species